AGCAAAUUGAGAUUAUACAUUAUAGCACCAAAGAAGUACGAAAUUCAAAUUCACUCAAGAUGCAAAUAUAGGUUUAAUCAAUGAUAAUUCACUGCCCAAUAUGACCAAAAGUAUAAAUUUAAUGUUAAAAUAUACAUCAAAGUAUUAAUAGAAAUGUUAUAUAUGACAAAGUUAAAUUCUUGGCAAAAUUAGAUAAGUUGUUUCUUUUUUGAAUCAACACAAACGUAAAUUUUUAGCCUACUGCCUAAACUAGCUUUGUUUAUGUCUUUAAAAUUUUAUCUAACAGGACUAAGGAAAAGAUAUAGGAAAUUUACCAAUGGGGUCAUGCUGUCAAA
rnacentral:misc_RNA from 1 species